GCGUCGGAGGUGCAACGGUUCAGCACGCGCUCCCGGAAAGAGUGAUAUUUUGGUUCGAGUCCCAGCUGACGCA